AGUGAACGCUGGCGGUAGGCCUAACACAUGCAAGUCGAACGGCAGCACAGUAAGAGCUUGCUCUUACGGGUGGCGAGUGGCGGACGGGUGAGGAAUACAUCGGAAUCUACUUUUUCGUGGGGGAUAACGUAGGGAAACUUACGCUAAUACCGCAUACGACCUACGGGUGAAGGCAGGGGAUCUUCGGACCUUGCGCGAUUGAAUGAGCCGAUGUCGGAUUAGCUAGUUGGCGGGGUAAAGGCCCACCAAGGCGACGAUCCGUAGCUGGUCUGAGAGGAUGAUCAGCCACACUGGAACUGAGACACGGUCCAGACUCCUACGGGAGGCAGCAGUGGGGAAUAUUGGACAAUGGGCGCAAGCCUGAUCCAGCCAUACCGCGUGGGUGAAGAAGGCCUUCGGGUUGUAAAGCCCUUUUGUUGGGAAAGAAAAGCAGCAGGUUAAUACCCCGCUGUUCUGACGGUACCCAAAGAAUAGGCACCGGCUAACUUCGUG
rnacentral:rRNA from 1 species